AUGACUAUGGCGAAAUAGGUAGACGCGGUUAGUUUAGGACUAACUCUCUAAGGGUUCGAGUCCCUUUAGUCAUA